GACGAACGCUGGCGGCGUGCUUAACACAUGCAAGUCGAACGAUGACGACCGAGCUUGCUCGGUCUGAUGAGUGGCGAACGGGUGAGUAACACGUGAGCAACCUGCCCUUCACUCUGGGAUAACCUCGGGAAAUCGGGGCUAAUACCGGAUAUGAGCUCCUGUCGCAUGGCGGGUGUUGGAAAGUUUUACGGUGAAGGAUGGGCUCGCGGCCUAUCAGUUUGUUGGGGAGGUAGUGGCUCACCAAGGCGAUGACGGGUAGCGGGCCUGAGAGGGCGACCGGCGACACUGGGACUGAGACACGGCCCAGACUCCUACGGGAGGCCGAAGUGGGGAAUAUUGAUCAAUCGGCGCAGGCCUGAUGCAGCGACGCCGCGUGAGGGAUGACGGCCUUCGGGUUGUAAACCUCUUUCAGCAGGGAAGAAGCGAAAGUGACGGUACCUGCAGAAGAAGCGCCGGCUAACUACGUGC
rnacentral:rRNA from 1 species